GGAGGUUAAAAACACGGAGGCUAAAGAGUUCUUUCUCUCUUUUCUUUUUCCCAUCUCGCUCUUCUUUAUCUCUACUGCUAAACAGUUACACGAAAACUAGGGUUUAUUAACCCGGUUAACUUUCUCUCUCCUGUUCAAAUGGCCAAAUCUAGAGGGGUUCAGUAUCGGUCGUCAACCAGUUCAAAGGGAAGAAGGAUCGAUAGUGGCUCCCAAGGUGGUAGAAAUCGAGGCCGAAUACAUCUCUGCCAUUGAAUGGUUGGUGUUUGAUGAUGUUAGGGUUCUUGCCCUGGGUACCUCGUGUGGGUAUUUGUUAAU
rnacentral:lncRNA from 1 species